rnacentral:misc_RNA from 1 species
GAAAUGCGAUAAGUAGUGUGAAUUGCAGAAUUCAGUGAAUCAUCGAAUCUUUGAACGCACAUUGCGCCCUUUGGUAUUCCUUAGGGCAUGCCUGUUCGAGCGUCAUCUAAACCUUCAAGCCCUGCUUGGUGUUGGGUGCCUGUCCCGCCUCCGCGCGCGGACUCACCUCAAAUCCAUUGGCGGCCCCCGCGUCCGCCACGAGCGCAGCAGAAACGCGAACUCGUGAGCCCGUCCGGGCGGCUCCCAGAAGCUACACCCACCCAGUUUGACCUCGGAUCAGGUAGGGAUACCCGCUGAACUUAAGC